GAUGAACGCUGGCGGCGUGCCUAAUACAUGCAAGUCGAGCGAACAGACGAGGAGCUUGCUCCUUUGACGUUAGCGGCGGACGGGUGAGUAACACGUGGGUAACCUACCUAUAAGACUGGGAUAACUUCGGGAAACCGGAGCUAAUACCGGAUAAUAUUUCGAACCGCAUGGUUCGAUAGUGAAAGAUGGCUCUGCUAUCACUUAUAGAUGGACCUGCGCCGUAUUAGCUAGUUGGUAAGGUAACGGCUUACCAAGGCAACGAUACGUAGCCGACCUGAGAGGGUGAUCGGCCACACUGGAACUGAGACAAGGUCCAGACUCCUACGGGAGGCAGCAGUAGGGAAUCUUCCGCAAUGGGCGAAAGCCUGACGGAGCAACGCCGCUUGAGUGAUGAAGGUCUUCGGAUCGUAAAACUCUGUUAUUAGGGAAGAACAAACGUGUAAGUAACUGUGCACGUCUUGACGGUACCUAAUCAGAAAGCCACGGCUAACUACGUG
rnacentral:rRNA from 1 species